UCGAUUUGCAUAUUAGCCUUUUAUUAUAUAGGAAGGAUUGCAUUCUUCUUAACCUUUUUUAUUUUCCAACUAAAAACUAAACAGGGAUUUUAGACCUAAGUACUCUCCUUAUAUACCUACUUUUGGUGUCAUUUUCCCUGAAGAGAGUAAUUUUCAUUUGGUUUGCAGAUAGCUGUGCUUGUGGAAUGAAGGUUCAGUAGAAAAAUGUCUUAUAGAAUAAGGUUCUCCUACUGCAUUCUCUCCUUAACCUUUCCUCUGUAGAGGAGGAGGAUGUUUAUUUCAUUACCAGUCAUUUUUUAGAUUGUUUUGUUUAUUUUUCAUGGACCAUGGAUCAUUUCAACAUGAAAUGGAUGAAAGUAACCUCCUUUCUUCACCUUCAGAAACAACUGCCUAUUAAAAGCACAGUCCAUCCGGAACACCAACCAGUAUAAAGCCCCUUCUUCAGAUCCUGAACCCGAGCCACAAAUGGACCAGCAUUCACAAAAAGAGGAUAACCAGGAGGGCUGCCACAUGAACAUGUUCCAACGUACGGCAUUUUCGGAUGUGGACGUUGCCAGAGUCAUCACUCCAGAUGCUUUUGUCUGUCGAACCAUUUGCACCUAUCGCCCCAACUGCCUCUUCUUCACUUUCCAUACUGACGCCUGGAAUGCAGAAUCGCAA